GAUAAUUUACUUCCUCCAUAGAAAGAAAGUGGGGCAAAAGUAAAACAAUCAUGAAACAGAACAGCUCUCGGACGUCACUGUAUGCAUCUAAUGCAGAGCAGCAUAAAGAAAUUAACAAUUUAUCUCAUUGUCACAGCUGUAACUCCAAACAUGUUCGGAGAGAUAUAACCAGAGACAAAUAACUUUUAUUGUGCUGGAUCAAUCAAAUCAGAUUCAAUUCAAGAAUGUUGCGAAAUCAUGUAUGCUUGCAACAUUAUGUGUGCUUAUCAAAAAGUUUUUAUCAAAUUAAGAUACUUAGACAUACAUGUUAUGUAGGCUUCCAAGUACCUGUGGUACUAGAAGAGAACCUAAGUUAACCCUUAAUCCUCUUUAAUCUUCAUGUCACACAAUUUUGGCAUGGUUCAUGUUCAAUGCAACAACCAGGCCUCACCCAUCCCCAUCUUUUAUUAAAUGCAUCUGGUAAAAAGCAAGCCUUGAAAUAAAUCCUUGAGCCUUUAUUUGAAUCUCCAGUUUAGUAAAAAAGACAGAAAAUGGUUAAAAUUAAAGUUGUAAUUUUUCCUUUUUAUUUUCUUUCUUUUUGAGAUCCAAAUGGAACUACAGUUACUAAAAUCAAUUAUUCACUAUGGAUUUGCAAGCACAUUUUAUUGGCACAAAACAUGUUUCCUAAACAAGCAUACCAUAACCAAAUUGUCAUUGAUGCGUACAGUCCAUUGACAUGCUAUGUAAACAGCAUAUCAGGCAGGCCUACCACACAUACUCUACAUUUAUAAGAAAACAAACCAUGAAAUUAAAUAUCUGGCAUACUUAAUGGUAUUUCUCCCAGCGACAUGUAAAUGGAGUCAUCAUCACCAAGAUUCCCCUCUCCAUUAUGAAGACUCAUCUCAUUCUGCAGUGGAUUGAUGUCCUCUCUUACUGAAUUACAGUUUGAAAAAGUGUUGAGAAACUCCGAAAUCAUAAGACCAUCAUAGCUAUCUGGAACCUCACUUAUAUCUCCAGCAUUCUGUGCAUUAUUGGGAAACCCUUCUGUGCCAGUAAAUGUUGUUUCCUUUCGCUGUGAAUUAUCAAAAGCCUUAUCUUCUAAGCUGGAAUCAUUCUCCAAAUCAAUGACUUCAAUAUGUUUGCCAUUAUUUGCAUUGCUUAUUGACAAAUCAAUGUCAACCCGUGCUGCUUCCUCUUUGAUUGCUGGCAUAGACGGGUACACAAGUACUGGGUCAUUACAAUGAUAAUCAUUCAUAUCAGCAGCUUCCAUUAAAUUGAGGUCACAGAUCUUAAACGAACUCGGAAAAAGUUGUUUCUCUUGUGCAUAAUCAGCACUUGGUUCACCACCUGACUUUGGAAAUUGAUGACUAUUCACCAAGUUGUCUCGAGUGACAGCAACAAUCAUUGGAUGAUCAGGUGAUGCGUUCCCUGCUUGUGAACUAUCUUGAUUUUGACUUAAAUUAGAGAGAUGAAGAUGACCAUGAGCUGUGCUAACCAAGGAUGGAAGCCAUUCUCUCGUCUUCUUGGAUUCCCCAUUCAUGUCAUCUUCAGCAGUUCGUUUCUCACCUCUCUCCUUAACCGAUGUGGACCUUCCAAAGCCUGCAAUCCCCUGACUUGAUUCUUGUUCACUGUCACACUUAAAAGCUCUCUCUGGAAAGGAUUGAGACCUCAUGCAUUUACCCUGCCCAGAACCAUAUGGGGGGCCUACUUCUCUGAUAUCCUCAUUAGAAUGUGCAGGCACUAAUUUAGACAUUUCAGGAUCACAUUUUGAAUCACGAGUCAUAUUUGGUAGUGAAUCAGCUGUGGAGAAAUCAAGAGUGCCAUCUGGAACUGAGACUUCAGAUUCUUUGGGAGGCCCAAUAUCAGAUGCAUUUUCCUCUUCCUUAUUAGGAACUUGGUCAACCUUGGGGGACCUGUAUGUCAAUGCAGAGCGUGUUCUGGUUGGGACCUUCACAAAUUUGCAGAAUGUUAGUAAAUCAGAUCCAUGCUUGCUAGAGAGAUCACCCUCUACAGCACAGGGCUGGAUAGUUAAGUCCUCGGAAAUACUUUGUGUCUCAGUUUCAUGACCAUGAUCGUAGUCCAUCUCCUCAUUCCCAGAAUUCAAGUUUGUCAAAUCAUCAGACACCUUGGAAGGUUCCCCAUCAGUCUCAUCUUUCCCAUUGCUUAAAGAACUUGCCUUGGAACCCAUUUCAUCUGCAUUGUUGAACUCUGCUCCUGAUUCAAUAUCAGUUGCUUCCUCAGUUUCUAGUGCUGACGCACUCUGACCAAACUUCCCAUCACCAACAUCUUCACCGACUUGAUGCUCUUCAUAAUUUCCAGAAUUAGAGUCAUCAGGCCCCUCCAUAUCAAGAGACAUCCGAUUUCUAUCUGACCACGACCCACUCCUCCCAUAUUCUCUGCCCCACUCUGAACUAUAACUGCGAUGAUAAUACUCUCCUUUCCUCCUACCUCUUACAUGGCUCCUCGAAUUGAAGUCAUCAGAAUACCUUCUCCUACCUGCUCCAGCAUCAGAACCAACACUUCCUAGUCGGGAAUGGGCAGAUGUUCUGCCCUCCUGUGUAAGGUCCUCUUGUACCCUAAAAUCUUGAUAAUCUCCAGCUUGCUUCCUCAAACUACCAUUCUGCCACUUACCAGAAAGUGCAUUUUGAGGUAACAAUCCCUUGGAAACUAAAUAUUCGGCUGCAAGUCUACCAGCUUCCAUCAAAAUGUCUCCUUUGCGUGGUGGUGGCUGGGGUGGCUGUUGAAAAGUUUUGGGAUGGCCCUGGCCACGGCCAAAGCCACGAUUAUUGAAGCUUCUGUACUCAGAAUUGUAAAACCCAUGGCCUCUGGCUGAACUAUCUGGGGAUAUCCUUGAGGCACCCAUUCCCAUAGAACUAGACCUGUACCCAUUUCCAGGACUUCGGUGCCUAGCAUGCAUCUUUCUAUUCCUGAUCGUUCUCAAACACUAUUAAAUACAACAAACAAUCAAUUGAAAGCCAAGGACAGUAAGUGAAAAAAGCAGGUGCUUUUAGCUCCCAAAAAUCCAGGACCAGCAGUACAGAAAAAAGAAAUUGCAAUCCUCAAAUUAAGCAACUAACGUCUUCAAUUAGGUGCCCACAAAUAAACUAAUAUGGUUUUUAUCUGGUCAAAGACGAGCAAAUCAACCCAACAAUAAAUUAUGGAGCCAAAAUGGCAGCUACCGGGUGCUUAACAAUCAAUACAGGUAGUAAUCUAAUUCCUUAGUACUUUUGAGGUCAAGGAAUCAAGGAGUCAAAAUCAACCAAAUCCAAGAGUGAAAAACCAAGAAAUGAGAUACAUAAAAAUCAAAGAUGAUCUUGGCUCCAAAGACAGUAAAAUCUGACCUUUCCUUCGUUCUGUUUUGGGUCUUUACCAGAGGCUGUAUCUAUUUGUUUUUGAUGUCUGUCAACCAAGAAAGAAAGAAGAUCCAGCUCUGGUGAUUUUAGGGUUUGAGAUCCAAGCAGGCCAAAUUUAUGGCCACCCUCUCUACCUACCCUCAACACCUCACCAUCUAGACCCCAAAAAAUCCCCUAAACUUUCCAAUUGAAGACUUGUUAAAAUCUUCCACAAUUUAAAGGUGACAGCUUUAGGUCUAAAAAAAUCUGGCAGCAAUCAGAAAGUUUGAUGCUUUCUGCAGCCAAACACAUUCAUCCAUGGCCCUUACAGUAGCAGAAAUACCAUGACUUGCCCAAAAAUGAGAAGACUCGUGGCUUCUUUCAAUAGGAAAAUGUACCGGUAACCUGUAAAUUCCUGUUGCACAACACACCCCACACCUUUUUUUUCCUUUUGGGUAAAAGCAAGAAGAAAACAAAACAAAUAACAAACAAAACUAGAGAGCUUCAAUGCACAAGGCCAACACACACCACUCGAAUCCUCAUCCUUUCGCAAUUGGAUAAGAACGAUAACAAUCCCAGCUGAUGGAUUAUGUUAAUUCUGAGAUUCCUCCUCCUAUCCAACUCACAAUUUCACUUCAAUUUGAUUUUGUUCGAUACUAAUACUCUCCUUCAACUCCAUUGCUGCAAUGCUCUCUAUCCACACCCAUUUCGCGAUUCAACCUUGAUAUCAACCAAAAUAACGAAAUUGAGUUCUGACUUGUUGAUUUUCAGGCCAAAAAGGGUUCAUCGGAGCCAGAACUGUGAUCAGCGACAAUGUUGUCGAGUUUUAACUUAGGUCUGACUCAGCUUUCUCUACCUACUUCCACUCGGCAAGGAAAAAAUCGAAGAAAAAGAACAAGGAGAGCCGAGCUUGGAGAAACGAAAAUGGGUUUUGGCAUGUCAAAAUAUUACGAAAUUGCCCCUGGGGACUGCGGUGUCCAUUGAAAAAAAAAAAAUUGGCACGCGUCAGGCAAUUAGGAGCGUUGGUAAUUCCGCGACGGCAAGAAAGAAAAAUGGUUAGCACGGGAG
rnacentral:misc_RNA from 1 species